UCCCGCACCCGAUCCCGACCCAGUUGGCGUCGCCCCAGGGACCCCCCCUACCAACCCACUGCCCCGCCCCUGAACCCUCGCGUCGCCGAGGCCCCCGUCCUGACCUCGCGCGCCGCCGCCGCCCUGACCUCGCGCGCCUCCGCCGCCGCCCCAAGAAACCACCAAUUCGGAUUCACCGUCGCCCACCCACACCAGCUCGCCGGUACCACCCCAGACCCCCUAGCCCUCGCCAACAUCUCCACCACCCAGCGCGAACCCUUCACCACCAACUCUGACGUCGUCGUCGCCGCCCACCAUCCAAUGCACCCCUGCUGCAUCUACCGUCCCGCGUGAGCACCGGUGCGCAUGGAUCCGGCAGGAUCCCGACCUGACUGGGCCAGGGUUGAUAUUCGCAGGCACUGGGGUCAUCGCGGACUGCGCCCCAGCCGUCGCCGUGGACUUCUCCGCAUCGCCGGCGGUAGCAGCAAUAGAAACUGGUGCUGGUUGGGACGGCCCGACAUGGAACUCCCACUGUCAGUGCCGUGCCACCAAGAUGAGGAAUCAGGUUCAGACAUUCCCAAACCCCACGCCUAGCGGAGUAUUUUUUACAAGAGAGGAACCAAGUUGCGUACCUGGUCGGGCAUGACCUCCCAGUUGAUACCGCUGAUGUUGAUCCCGACGUAGAGGCAAGCCUUGUAGUGGGCAUUCACGAUGUCGCGCCCGAACACCUUGUCGGCGCCGGCGGUGCAGUAGUUUGGCCCCUGCACAAAUGCACACAAUCAAUAUCAUCUGAAAACCUACUACCUCCAGUGAACUGUGGACAAUUUUGAGUUCAAGAACAUAUUUGUUUUAUGUUUUAUAUGUAAGCUUGAACAGAUUUGUUGAGAAUUUUCUUGCCUGAGGGCCAUGGUAGCCACCAAUGGGCCAACGAAGAGAUAAGGAUACGAAGGCUCCCUUGCAGAGAGUUGGCUCUGGUCGUGCUUGAGGCCGCCGUUGCUUAUGGCCGCUGUACACCAAGUGCAAAGACGUUUUAUGAAAAGUUCUAGUACAGCUAUAUGGUGGCCGCCCUGAAGUUCUACUAUGGAUGUAAGCAAAGGUCUACAACGGCUAUACGCCGACUGUCACGCUAGUUUGCAUGACUUGCUGCUGCAGGUUGUAACCUUUCAACCUUUUAGCUUGUUGUUUUGAAGUCUCUAUUGAACGUUCUUCUGAACUUGUGAUAUGAAGCUGCUACUUUUGUGAUCGAUUGGAUAUAUACAGAGGCCUGCUCUCAAUUUCUCUUCUCCCAGGCGUGUGUAGCUGGUGGCUUGUGCGGAAUCAACUCACAUAGUCUUCCAAAUUUCCAAAAGAACCGAAGUUCAGUUUCUAUCAAGUUACAAGUUCAGAGUUUAUUUCUGUAAUAUCUGAAGAAGACUAGCAAAAGAUUAUACUGCUCACUGCACAAAAAGAAAACUUGUACUUCUCUCUACUCGUCUCUCCCCGUGAACCAUGAUGUCCAGUAGUUUGUGAAGCAUGAUGUUAACUACAAAAUGUAUAGUAGUUUAUGAACCUUGAUAUUAACUGAUUUUUUUUUGCAGCGCGGCGUAUUGCUGGUGGAGCUGGUGUCUGUGCAACAUCAUGUGUCAGUUCCUUGUUGACACGGGCGGAGACGCUCACGACGUUGAAGCUGCAGAGCAUUAUACGUUGUUGUCAAGUUGGCUCACAUAUAUUGGAAUAAGGAAAAAUGGCUGAAGGUCAAAAGAAAUUGUUCGAGAAGGUCAAAAGCAUGUCAAAGUAUAUUUUCUGGAACACCAACACUCUCUCGAAAUCAAUGCUGGCAAGUUUUGGCACCUGCGUUCUGCAGAACAAAAGAAACGUUCUGUCUUUGUUGUUCCAUGCCGCCGAAUUAUUGAACGAAUUGAUGGACGCCAUGGGCCGAGAACAAAAUUUGAAGAAAUUAAUUGAAGACUGCGUUGACUCUUGAAUCUUGAUGGAUCCAUGUAUGCAUGUGCACAACUAAAGUUCAACUAUGGAGUGGAGAGCCGGAGGACGGCGAGCGUCAGCGUGAUGGAGGAUUGUGGGCCAACUCAAAUGCCAUGCACCGGAAUCAUGUGGUGCUGUUCAUAUAUAACCAGCAGAGGAGUUCAAAGAAUCUUAACUUGUUGCAUUUCAUAGAAAAACAGUGGAAAAGCAUGAACUAGCUAGGUGUGUUAGUUCAAAUAUGUAUCACAUCAUCAACUUGAAACAAUAUGUCAUUCGCAAAACAUUUGGGGA